CAGUCGCGCGGUAAUACAGAGGGUGCGAGCGUUAAUCGGAUUUACUGGGCGUAAAGCGUGCGUAGGCGGCUUUUUAAGUCGGAUGUGAAAUCCCUGAGCUUAACUUAGGAAUUGCAUUCGAUACUGGGAAGCUAGAGUAUGGGAGAGGAUGGUAGAAUUCCAGGUGUAGCGGUGAAAUGCGUAGAGAUCUGGAGGAAUACCGAUGGCGAAGGCAGCCAUCUGGCCUAAUACUGACGCUGAGGUACGAAAGCAUGGGGAGCAAACAGGAUUAGAUACCCCCGUAGUCCCUGUCUCUUAUACA
rnacentral:rRNA from 1 species